rnacentral:rRNA from 1 species
GCUACACAUGCAGUCGAGCGGAACGAUGGUAGCUUGCUACCAGGCGUCGAGCGGCGGACGGGUGAGUAAUACUUAGGAAUCUACCUAGUAGUGGGGGAUAGCACGGGGAAACUCGUAUUAAUACCGCAUACGACCUACGGGAGAAAGGGGGCAGUUUACUGCUCUCGCUAUUAGAUGAGCCUAAGUCGGAUUAGCUAGAUGGUGGGGUAAAGGCCUACCAUGGCGACGAUCUGUAGCUGGUCUGAGAGGAUGAUCAGCCACACCGGGACUGAGACACGGCCCGGACUCCUACGGGAGGCAGCAGUGGGGAAUAUUGGACAAUGGGGGAAACCCUGAUCCAGCCAUGCCGCGUGUGUGAAGAAGGCCUUUUGGUUGUAAAGCACUUUAAGCAGUGAAGAAGACUCUUCGGUUAAUACCCGGAGACGAUGACAUUAGCUGCAGAAUAAGCACCGGCUAACUCUGUGCCAGCAGCCGCGGUAAUACAGAGGGUGCAAGCGUUAAUCGAUUACUGGGCGUAAGCGAGCGUAGGUGGCUUGAUAAGUCAGAUGUGA